AACGAACGCUGGCGGCAUGCCUAACACAUGCAAGUCGAACGAGACCUUCGGGUCUAGUGGCGCACGGGUGCGUAACGCGUGGGAACCUGCCCUUAGGUUCGGAAUAACUCCCCGAAAGGGGUGCUAAUACCGGAUAAUGUCUUCGGACCAAAGAUUUAUCGCCUUUGGAUGGGCCCGCGUUGGAUUAGCUAGUUGGUAGGGUAAAAGCCUACCAAGGCGACGAUCCAUAGCUGGUCUGAGAGGAUGAUCAGCCACACUGGGACUGAGACACGGCCCAGACUCCUACGGGAAGGAGGAGGGGGGAAUAUUGGAAAAUGGGCGAAAGGCUGAACCAGCCAAGCCGGGGGAAUGAUGAAGGCCUUAGGGUUGUAAAGCUCUUUUACCCGGGAUGAUAAUGACAGUACCGGGAGAAUAAGCUCCGGCUAACUCCGUG
rnacentral:rRNA from 1 species